GACGAACGCUGGCGGCGUGCUUAACACAUGCAAGUCGAACGAGUGGCGAACGGGUGAGUAACGCGUGAGUAACCUGCCCCCUCUCUGGGAUAACAGUUGGAAACGGCUGCUAAUACCGGAUAGUGGGGGAUGGACUCGCGUCCUAUCAGCUUGUUGGUGGGGUAGUGGCCUACCAAGUCGACGACGGGUAGCCGGUCUGAGAGGAUGAACGGCCACAUUGGGACUGAGACACGGCCCAGACUCCUACGGGAGGCAGCAGUGGGGAAUCUUCCGCAAUGGACGAAAGUCUGACGGAGCAACGCCGCGUGUAUGAAGAAGGCCUUCGGGUUGUAAAGUACUUUCAGCGAGGAGGCGUUACUCGCAGAAGAAGCACCGGCUAACUCCGUGCCAGCAGCCGCGGUAAUUC
rnacentral:rRNA from 1 species